rnacentral:rRNA from 1 species
UGCGUAGGCGGAAAAUUAAGUCAGUGGUGAAAUCCUGCAGCUCAACUGUAGAACUGUCAUUGAUACUGAUUUUCUUGAAUACAGUUGAGGUGGCGGAAUAUGUAAUGUAGCGGUGAAAUGCUUAGAUAUUACAUAGAACACCGAUUGCGAAGGCAGCUUACUAAACUGUGAUUGACGCUGAGGCACAAAAGCGUGGGGAGCGAACAGGAUUAGAUACCCUGGUAGUCC